UGGCUCAGAUUGAACGCUGGCGGCAUGCCUUACACAUGCAAGUCGAACGGCAGCACGGGAGCAAUCCUGGUGGCGAGUGGCGAACGGGUCGAGUAAUACAUCGGAACGUGCCCAAUCGUGGGGGAUAACGCAGCGAAAGCUGUGCUAAUACCGCAUACGAUCUACGGAUGAAAGCAGGGGACCGCAAGGCCUUGCGCGAAUGGAGCGGCCGAUGGCAGAUUAGGUAGUUGGUGAGGUAAAGGCUCACCAAGCCUUCGAUCUGUAGCUGGUCUGAGAGGACGACCAGCCACACUGGGACUGAGACACGGCCCAGACUCCUACGGGAGGCAGCAGUGGGGAAUUUUGGACAAUGGGCGCAAGCCUGAUCCAGCCAUGCCGCGUGCAGGAUGAAGGCCUUCGGGUUGUAAACUGCUUUUGUACGGAACGAAACGGCUCUUUCUAAUAAAGAGGGCUAAUGACGGUACCGUAAGAAUAAGCACCGGCUAACUACGUGCCAGCAGCCGCGGUAAUACGUAGGGUGCAAGCGUUAAUCGGAAUUACUGGGCGUAA
rnacentral:rRNA from 1 species